rnacentral:lncRNA from 13 species
AAUCGGCUUAGGUCAGCAAACUACAGAAGAAACAGGAUAUACUAGGCCGCUGCUUGAAUCACCAAGGCCUGCUUGUCACCCCUCCCCACAAUUAGUUGGCUUCACCUGAACUGAAGAAGUUUAGUCUAAAAUGAGUUUACUACCCUGCAAAAUAGCUGGCUUUGCCGGUUCUUAUCAGCCUGCCCAGCUACUUAGGUCAUAAGCCAAACACCUGGAGAGCCCCUGAGCUGACUGGGAUUGCAAUGCACUGUGGGCUGCAACAAAAUGCAGCAGGACCGCCCUAAAGAGAACAGCCCUGAAGCCCCGCCCAACCAACAGGCAACAUCCGGGAAGACUGGGACCCCGCAGUAGCCAGCCUGUGAGGGACCGGGGAGGGACCCGCGCACUAGGGGAUAAACUGCUUCUUCAAACUGUGCUGGACGAGCCUGCCCGUCAGACACCCGAUCUUCCAAGACUGUCAUUCAAAGUCUCACUUUCACUGUUCUCUGGGUCUCUGAGUCCACUUUGGGGGUUUGGAUGAGUCUGUUUCUCACAAAAAUAAAAGCUGCAUAGCCAGGCCUAGGGGCUCACUCCUGUAAUCCCAGCACUUUGGGAGGCUGAGGCAGGUAGAUUACCUGAGGUCAGGAGUUCAAGACCAACUUGACCGACAUGGAGAAACCCUGUCUGUACUAAAAAUACAAAAUUAGCCAGGCGCGGUGGUGGGUGCCUGUAAUCCCAGCCACUCAGGAGGCUGAAGCAGGAGAAUCACUUGAACCCGGGAGGCAGAGCUUGCGGCGAGCCGAGAUUGUGCCAUUGCACUCCAGGCUGGACAGCAAGAGCAAAAUUCCAUAUCAAAAAAUAAGAAAAAAAUUAAAUAAGAGCUGCAUAGAGCCAUAUACAUCACCGAAGCCUGAGUUGUCAGGGAGGAAACACUUUUCAUCCACCCUCUUAGGUCCUGUACCUGGGGACCUGCAAAUUAACUGACAAAAGAGAGGUUAACAGGAGAAAAAGAAUGCAAAUUGCAUUAUUAUUUAUAGCACAGAGUUCACAGAAAAUAAGUGAGACUCAAAGGAGCAAGAAGAGUUUGGGCCUUACAUGCCAUUUUCGCAAAGGAAAGGGAUUCAGUCUUCCAGGGGUGAUACACUCGGGAAAGGCAUGGCCUGAGGUGAGACUGCGCAGUCUUCUGGAAGCAGGCCUGAGUUUUAGAGUACCUGCUCCCUCCUGACACUGGUGAGAGGAGAGCAACACUCUCCCUCUCCGGCCUCUGGACUAGACCCUGGAUCUCUCGACAGCACAGGCCUGUCAGACGCCUGCCAAUCCUGACCUUGGAUAGGAAAAGGCCCCUGAGACCACAGUGGUCCCACAGGUGGAGAGACCCACGCCCAGUGGUGGGAAGGGGCUUGUCAAGGCUGCCAGGCAGAUAGCAGCAGCCCAGAGCCACUGUGGUGCUGGCCUGGGUCCUGCACCUGUGCAUAGCAGAUGCUCAGUAAACCCUGGCUACCUGAGUGAGUGAGUCUUGCCUUUCCAUCUAGCACAAGGGAGGAAAGUCUUUCCUCUACCCUCUGAGGUUCUAUGGCUGAGCCUGAGAAUUAAACUAGUGAAAGAUGAACAGGAGAAAAGCAUACACAUUUGACUGUCAAUUUUUAC